UCUUCAAUGUGUAAGGCUCCUUCAAA
rnacentral:piRNA from 1 species